rnacentral:rRNA from 1 species
UACGGAGGAUCCAAGCGUUAAUCGGAAUUACUGGGCGUAAAGCGUGCGCAGGCGGUUUGUUAAGUCUGAUGUGAAAGCCCCGGGCUCAACCUGGGAAUGGCAUUGGAAACUGGCAAGCUUGAGUAUGGCAGAGGGGGGUGGAAUUCCGCGUGUAGCAGUGUAAUGCGUAGAGAUGCGGAGGAACACCGAUGGCGAAGGCAGCCCCCUGGGCCAAUACUGACGCUCAGGCACGAAAGCGUGGGGAGCAAACAGG